rnacentral:tRNA from 1 species
UCGAAGGCGCCCCCGGCAAAGGCAAUCCGGGAGAAAGACGCCAAGCUGCCCUCGGGAGCGCUGGGGCAGGCCCGCAG